ACUCCUGCGGGAGGCAGCAGUGGGGAAUUUUGGACAAUGGGCGCAAGCCUGAUCCAGCCAUGCCGCGUGCGGGAAGAAGGCCUUCGGGUUGUAAACCGCUUUUGUCAGGGAAGAAAAGGUUCUGGCUAAUACCUGGGACUCAUGACGGUACCUGAAGAAUAAGCACCGGCUAACUACGUGCCAGCAGCCGCGGUAAUACGUAGGGUGCAAGCGUUAAUCGGAAUUACUGGGCGUAAAGCGUGCGCAGGCGGUUAUGCAAGACAGAGGUGAAAUCCCCGGGCUCAACCUGGGAACUGCCUUUGUGACUGCAUGGCUAGAGUACGGUAGAGGGGGAUGGAAUUCCGCGUGUAGCAGUGAAAUGCGUAGAUAUGCGGAGGAACACCGAUGGCGAAGGCAAUCCCCUGGACCUGUACUGACGCUCAUGCACGAAAGCGUGGGGAGCAAACAGGAUUAGAUACCCCAGUAGUCCCAUG
rnacentral:rRNA from 1 species